UUUUUAGCAUAGAUCACCUCUACAAACCCACUCCACACCUGGCUGCAUGAGCACUAAACAGCAAAAUGAAGGGAGAUGCAGGGAGGAGCAGGACUGUAGCAUCUUCACCCCAGAUUUGUACAAACUGCCACGGGACUACACCCCUUCGCCUUGGUGAUGAAGCUGAGGACAGAGCACUGUGUGAAUACAUGUGGAUUAUCUUGCAGAAAUUGUUUGCCAUCUAGUGGUUUGUCAGCCUCCCACGAAUAUACAUGUAAAAAUAGUAAAGAAUUGGAGAACAUAAUGGUGAAAAAAAUAUGCUUCCCAAUAUGCUUGAACCUAUAAAAACACCUAGGAAAGAUGAAGCUCCUAUUGCAAAAUGUGUGCCAUUAGAAUGGACAUGUCGUGGAGACAAGCCAGGAAAACUUGCACACAAGCAAUGUGAGGUUUUGAGAGAUGUCAGCCACAUUCUUUGGUGUUGCAAAAGAGAGAAACCUAAUGAAACAGAGCUCUGCAUGGGUGAGAGGAUGCCAGCGUAUGAACUGAGGAUCUGGCCUCCUGCUGUUUAUUUCAGUGAUUGUUCUAUGAUAUAUUCCAGUAUGCUGACUGUAUUUAUGUAACUGUAUGAUUUAAUAAACAAAUUCUGUGCAUUG